rnacentral:rRNA from 1 species
UACGAAGGGGCUAGCGUUGUUCGGAAUCACUGGGCGUAAAGCGCUCGUAGGCGGAUCUUUAAGUCAGAGGUGAAAUCCCAAGGCUCAACCUUGGAACUGCCUUUGAUACUGGGGAUCUCGAGUCCGGGAGAGGUGAGUGGAACUGCGAGUGUAGAGGUGAAAUUCGUAGAUAUUCGCAAGAACACCAGUGGCGAAGGCGGCUCACUGGCCCGGUACUGACGCUGAGGAGCGAAAGCGUGGGAGCAA